AGCAGCCGCGGUAAUUCCAGCUCCAAUAGCGUAUAUUAAAGUUGUUGCAGUUAAAAAGCUCGUAGUUGAAUUUCGGGAUCAAUAUGUUGGUCGUGCCUCGGUACGUACUAGCUUAUUGGUUUCUCCUUUCUGAAGAACCAUGAUGUCAUUUAUUUGGUGUCGUGGGGAAUCAGGACUGUUACUUUGAAAAAAUUAGAGUGUUUAAAGCAGGCUCACGCUUGAAUACAUUAGCAUGGAAUAAUGAAAUAGGACGUUUGAUUCUAUUUUGUUGGUUUCUAGGAUCGACGUAAUGAUUAAUAGGGAUAGUUGGGGGCAUUAGUAUUCAAUUGUCAGAGGUGAAAUUCUUGGAUUUAUUGAAGACUAACUACUGCGAAAGCAUUUGCCAAGGAUGUUUUCAUUAAUCAAGAACGAAAGUUAGGGGAUCGAAGACGAUCAGAUACCGUCGUAGUCUUAACCAUAAACUAUGCCGACUAGGGAUCGGAUGAUGUU
rnacentral:misc_RNA from 1 species